GAUGAACGCUGGCGGCGUGCCUAAUACAUGCAAGUCGAGCGGUAAGGCUUUCACAGAUUAUUUGAACAGAUAAGUCCAUUGGGAUACUGUUUGAAAAUAUUUUUACUAGGCUAGUAAAAAUAGUCGAAUAAUGUGUGAAAGUACACGAGCGGCGGACGGCUGAGUAACGCGUAGGAACGUACCCCAAAGUGAGGGAUAAGCACCGGAAACGGUGUCUAAUACCGCAUGUGAUCUAAGGAUGAAAGCAGUAAUGCGCUUUGGGAACGGCCUGCGUCCGAUUAGCUAGUUGGUGAGGUAAUAGCUCACCAAGGCGACGAUCGGUAGCUGGUCUGAGAGGAUGAUCAGCCAGACUGGGACUGAGACACGGCCCAGACUCCUACGGGAGGCAGCAGUAGGGAAUCUUCCACAAUGGGCGAAAGCCUGAUGGAGCGACGCCGCGUGAGCGAAGAAGGCCUUCGGUUGUAAGACUCUGUCUGGAGGGACGGAAGGAA
rnacentral:rRNA from 1 species